AACCUAGCACACCUGCGGUGUGUACCUGCGGAGGGAUCAUUACCGAGUUUACAACUCCCAAACCCCUGUGAACAUACCUAUACGUUGCCUCGGCGGAUCAGCCCGCGCCCUGUAAAACGGGACGGCCCGCCCGAGGACCCUAAACUCUGUUUUUAGUGGAACUUCUGAGUAAAACAAACAAAUAAAUCAAAACUUUCAGCAAUGGAUCU
rnacentral:misc_RNA from 1 species